GGAAGAGUGGCCGAGUGGUUUAAGGCAACGGUCUUGAAAACCGUCGAUGGGGCAACCUAUCCGUGGGUUCGAAUCCCACCUCUUCCGCCA
rnacentral:tRNA from 2 species